GGGAAGGGACCCUGCACAGGAAGCCAGGAACAGGAGUACCUUGCUCCAGAGCAAGACUCUCUGGACAUCACCAAGGAGAACACAGCAAGCAUUUGUGCAGCAGAUGAACUGGAGGAAGAAGAUAUGCUCCACCUCCUGCAACCCUCAGAAAGAACAUCAUCAAUGUUUCUGUGCCUCCACCCCAGCAAGUGAGUAGAAGUCUUCCUAUGGACACCAAGGGGUGAUCCCUUUACCUGAAUGAGCUCCUCAUUCGAGCUGAACUCGGACACCAUGACGUUCUGGCCGUCCACCACCCGCGUCAGAGAGAUGUGCAGCCGCCCCGAUGCCACCAGGCUGAUGCCGCACACCACGGCGGCGGCGAUGAGUGAUCCGGCAGACGAUCCGUACACCUUGCAGGCAGAUUUGAGCAGCUCGGGGGCCAACUCCAGGAGGGACUGCACCACCCCAACCUGAUACAGCACGAGGAACCCACUGCCCGAAAAGGAGAGCGAGAAAGGGGUGCCCGGAGCACGCAGCUCCUCUGCAGCCAUCUCCAGGGCAAGCGUCCACCUCGGUGCCUUCCUCACCAAACAGAGCUCAGGCUCUCAUCUCCGGGUGCAUCCCUG
rnacentral:lncRNA from 1 species